rnacentral:rRNA from 1 species
AACGACUCUCGGCAACGGAUAUCUCGGCUCUCGCAUCGAUGAAGAACGUAGCGAAAUGCGAUACUUGGUGUGAAUUGCAGAAUCCCGUGAACCAUCGAGUCUUUGAACGCAAGUUGCGCCCAAGGCCAUUAGGUCGAGGGCACGUCUGGCUGGGUGUCACACAACA